rnacentral:rRNA from 1 species
ACUUCCGUUAUUGAUUAUGACGUGCUUGCACUGAAUGAGAUUUUAACACGAAGUGAGUGGCGGACGGGUGAGUAACACGUGGGUAACCUGCCCAGAAGCAGGGGAUAACACCUGGAAACAGAUGCUAAUACCGUAUAACAGAGAAAACCGCCUGGUUUUCUUUUAAAAGAUGGCUCUGCUAUCACUUCUGGAUGGACCCGCGGCGCAUUAGCUAGUUGGUGAGGUAACGGCUCACCAAGGCGAUGAUGCGUAGCCGACCUGAGAGGGUAAUCGGCCACAUUGGGACUGAGACACGGCCCAGACUCCUACGGGAGGCAGCAGUAGGGAAUCUUCCACAAUGGACGCAAGUCUGAUGGAGCAACGCCGCGUGAGUGAAGAAGGGUUUCGGCUCGUAAAGCUCUGUUGUUAAAGAAGAACGUGGGUGAGAGUAACUGUUCACCCAGUGACGGUAUUUAACCAGAAAGCCACGGCUAACUACGUGCCAGCAGCCGCGGUAAUACGUAGGUGGCAAGCGUUAUCCGGAUUUAUUGGGCGUAAAGCGAGCGCAGGCGGUCUUUUAAGUCUAAUGUGAAAGCCUUCGGCUCAACCGAAGAAGUGCAUUGGAAACUGGGAGACUUGAGUGCAGAAGAGGACAGUGGAACUCCAUGUGUAGCGGUGAAAUGCGUAGAUAUAUGGAAGAACACCAGUGGCGAAGGCGGCUGUCUGGUCUGUAACUGACGCUGAGGCUCGAAAGCAUGGGUAGCGAACAGGAUUAGAUACCCUGGUAGUCCAUGCCGUAAACGAUGAUUACUAAGUGUUGGAGGGUUUCCGCCCUUCAGUGCUGCAGCUAACGCAUUAAGUAAUCCGCCUGGGGAGUACGACCGCAAGGUUGAAACUCAAAAGAAUUGACGGGGGCCCGCACAAGCGGUGGAGCAUGUGGUUUAAUUCGAAGCUACGCGAAGAACCUUACCAGGUCUUGACAUCUUCUGCCAACCUAAGAGAUUAGGCGUUCCCUUCGGGGACAGAAUGACAGGUGGUGCAUGGUUGUCGUCAGCUCGUGUCGUGAGAUGUUGGGUUAAGUCCCGCAACGAGCGCAACCCUUAUUACUAGUUGCCAGCAUUCAGUUGGGCACUCUAGUGAGACUGCCGGUGACAAACCGGAGGAAGGUGGGGACGACGUCAAAUCAUCAUGCCCCUUAUGACCUGGGCUACACACGUGCUACAAUGGAUGGUACAACGAGUCGCGAAACCGCGAGGUUUAGCUAAUCUCUUAAAACCAUUCUCAGUUCGGACUGUAGGCUGCAACUCGCCUACACGAAGUCGGAAUCGCUAGUAAUCGCGGAUCAGCAUGCCGCGGUGAAUACGUUCCCGGGCCUUGUACACACCGCCCGUCACACCAUGAGAGUUUGUAACACCCAAAGCCGGUGG